UACGUAGGGUGCAAGCGUUGUCCGGAAUUAUUGGGCGUAAAGAGCUCGUAGGCGGUCUGUCACGUCGGCUGUGAAAUCCCGAGGCUCAACCUCGGGUCUGCAGUCGAUACGGGCAAACUAGAGUAUUGCAGGGGAGACUGGAAUUCCUGGUGUAGCGGUGAAAUGCGCAGAUAUCAGGAGGAACACCGGUGGCGAAGGCGGGUCUCUGGGCAACAACUGACGCUGAGGAGCGAAAGCGUGGGGGAGCGAACAGG
rnacentral:rRNA from 1 species